rnacentral:rRNA from 1 species
CUAGAGAGUAGUUGCGGUAGGCGGAAUGUAUGGUGUAGCGGUGAAAUGCUUAGAGAUCAUACAGAACACCGAUUGCGAAGGCAGCUUACCAAACUAUAUCUGACGUUGAGGCACGAAAGCGUGGGGAGCAAACAGGAUUAGAUACCCUGGUAGUCCACGCAGUAAACGAUGAUAACUCGUUGUCGGCGAUACACAGUCGGUGACUAAGCGAAAGCGAUAAGUUAUCCACCUGGGGAGUACGUUCGCAAGAAUGAAACUCAAAGGAAUUGACGGGGGCCCGCACAAGCGGAGGAACAUGUGGUUUAAUUCGAUGAUACGCGAGGAACCUUACCCGGGCUUGAAAGUUAGCGACGAUUCUUGAAAGAGGAUUUCCCUUCGGGGCGCGAAACUAGGUGCUGCAUGGUUGUCGUCAGCUCGUGCCGUGAGGUGUCGGGUUAAGUCCCAUAACGAGCGCAACCCCUACCGUUAGUUGCCAUCAGGUGAAGCUGGGCACUCUGGCGGGACUGCCGGUGUAAGCCGAGAGGAAGGUGGGGAUGACGUCAAAUCAGCACUGCCCUUACGUCCGGGGCUACACACGUGUUACAAUGGUAGGUACAGAGGGCAGCUACCCAGCGAUGGGAUGCGAAUCUCGAAAGCCUAUCUCAGUUCGGAUUGGAGGCUGAAACCCGCCUCCAUGAAGUUGGAUUCGCUAGUAAUCG